GAAACUGCGAAUGGCUCAUUAAAUCAGUUAUGGUUUAUUUGAUGGUACCUUACUACUUGGAUAACCGUAGUAAUUCUAGAGCUAAUACAUGCAGGAAGUCCCUUCUGGGGAUGUAUUUAUUAGAUAAGAAACCAAUCCCUUCGGGGUUGCGUGCCGAGUCAUAAUAACUGCUCGAAUCGCAUGGCCUCGCGCCGGCGAUGGUUCAUUCAAAUUUCUGCCCUAUCAGCUUUCGAUGGUAGGAUAGAGGCCUACCAUGGCGUUUACGGGUAACGGAGAAUUAGGGUUCGAUUCCGGAGAGGGAGCCUGAGAAAUGGCUACCACAUCCAAGGAAGGCAGCAGGCGCGUAAAUUGCCCGAAUCCUGACACAGGGAGGUAGUGACAAGAAAUAACAAUACAGGGCCAUCUUGGUCUUGUAAUUGGAAUGAGUACAAUUUACAUCUCUUCACGAGGAUCAAUUGGAGGGCAAGUCUGGUGCCAGCAGCCGCGGUAAUUCCAGCUCCAAUAGCGUAUAUUAAAGUUGUUGCAGUUAAAACGCUCGUAGUCGGAUUUCGGGGCGUGCGAGCCGGUCUGCCGAUGGGUAUGCACUGGCGUUGCGCGUCCUUUCUUUCGGAGCCCUCCGCUGCUCUUAGCUGAGCGGUGGGGGGAGACGGAUCGUUUACUUUGAAAAAAUCAGAGUGUUUCAAGCAGGCAGCUCGCUCUUGCAUGGAUUAGCAUGGGAUAAUGAAAUAGGACUCUGGUGCUAUUUUGUUGGUUUCGAACACCGGAGUAAUGGUCAACAGGGACAGUCAGGGGCACUCGUAUUCCGCCGAGAGAGGUGAAAUUCUCAGACCAGCGGAAGACGAACCACUGCGAAAGCAUUUGCCAGGGAUGUUUUCACUGAUCAAGAACGAAAGUUAGGGGAUCGAAGACGAUCAGAUACCGUCGUA
rnacentral:rRNA from 1 species